AUGUAGGGCAAUAUGUCUUUAAGUAGGGAUAAUUAUGUAAAAGAAAUGAAUCUUAAAUAGUUUUCCCAUCAGGCAUCCUGU
rnacentral:pre_miRNA from 1 species